rnacentral:RNase_P_RNA from 1 species
UUGACAAACGCUAUAUCAAAAUAGAUAUAGAGGAAAGUCCAUGCUCUCACAAUCUGAAAUGAUUGUAGUGUUCGUGCUUAAGGAAAAAAUAACUUAAGGUAGAGUAAUCUAACGGCGAAGUAAAGACCUAAGUCUUGUGAUAUGGUCUUCUUCUGAAAAGUGCCGCAGUGACGAUAUUCUAAGAAAUUAGAAAGUGAAACGUGGUAAACCCCGCGAGAGAGAAACCCAAAUUAUGGUAGGGGAGCUUUGAUAAGGGAAUAACAACCGAAUCAAGGACUGAGAAAUCAGUAGAUAAAUGUUUGUCACCUAGAAAUAGGUACAGAACAUGGCUUAUAA